GCGAGUGUGGUGGAAUGGUAGACACGGGGCACUCAAAAUGCUCUGCCUCUGGCGUGCGGGUUCGAGUCCCGCCACUCGUA
rnacentral:tRNA from 15 species